UCUGGCGGCAGUAGCGCGGUGGUCCCACCUGACCCCAUGCCGAACUCAGAAGUGAAACGCUGUAGCGCCGAUGGUAGUGUGGGGUCUCCCCAUGCGAGAGUAGGGAACUGCCAGAC
rnacentral:rRNA from 2 species